rnacentral:rRNA from 1 species
AUGAACGCUGGCGGCGUGCCUAAUACAUGCCAGUCGAGCGAACGGACGAGAAGCUUGCUUCUCUGAUGUUAGCGGCGGACGGGUGAGUAACACGUGGAUAACCUACCUAUAAGACUGGGAUAACUUCGGGAAACCGUAGCUAAUACCGGAUAAUAUUUUGAACCGCAUGGUUCAAAAGUGAAAGACGGUCUUGCUGUCACUUAUAGAUGGAUCCGCGCUGCAUUAGCUAGUUGGUAAGGUAACGGCUUACCAAGGCAACGAUGCAUAGCCGACCUGAGAGGGUGAUCGGCCACACUGGUACUGAGACACGGUCCAGACUCCUACGGGAGGCAGCAGUAGGGAAUCUUCCGCAAUGGGCGAAAGCCUGACGGAGCAACGCCGCGUGAGUGAUGAAGGUCUUCGGAUCGUAAAACUCUGUUAUUAGGGAAGAACAUAUGUGUAAGUAACUGUGCACAUCUUGACGGCACCUAAUCAGAAAGCCACGGCUAACUACGUG